UACGUAGGUGGCAAGCGUUGUCCGGAUUUAUUGGGCGUAAAGGGCGCGCAGGUGGUGCGGUAAGUCUGCCGUGAAAUCUCCCGGCUCAACUGGGAGGGUGCGGUGGAGACUGCCGGACUAGAGGCACUUAGAGGCCGGUGGAAUUCCCGGUGUAGUGGUGAAAUGCGUAGAGAUCGGGAGGAACACCAGUGGCGAAGGCGGCCGGCUGGGGGUGACCUGACGCUGAGGCGCGAAAGCGUGGGGAGCGAACCGG
rnacentral:rRNA from 1 species